AUUGAACGCUGGCGGCAGGCUUAACACAUGCAAGUCGAGCGGAGAUGAGGUGCUUGCACCUUAUCUUAGCGGCGGACGGGUGAGUAAUGCUUAGGAAUCUGCCUAUUAGUGGGGGACAACAUUCCGAAAGGAAUGCUAAUACCGCAUACGUCCUACGGGAGAAAGCAGGGGAUCUUCGGACCUUGCGCUAAUAGAUGAGCCUAAGUCGGAUUAGCUAGUUGGUGGGGUAAAGGCCUACCAAGGCGACGAUCUGUAGCGGGUCUGAGAGGAUGAUCCGCCAAAGUGGGACGGGGACACGGCCCAGACUCCUACGGGAGGCAGCAGUGGGGAAUAUUGGACAAUGGGGGGAACCCUGAUCCAGCCAUGCCGCGUGUGUGAAGAAGGCCUUAUGGUUGUAAAGCACUUUAAGCGAGGAGGAGGCUACUGAGACUAAUACUCUUGGAUAGUGGACGUUACUCGCAGAAUAAGCACCGGCUAACUCUGUGCCAGCAGCCGCGGUAAUAC
rnacentral:rRNA from 1 species